rnacentral:tRNA from 1 species
AUGGUAGUAGCUCAGUGGUAGAGCUCCCGCUUCGUAGGCCGGGAGACUUAGGUUCCAUUCCCGGCUGCUUUC